rnacentral:rRNA from 1 species
UACAGAGGUCUCAACCGUUGUUCGGAUUCAUUGGGCGUAAAGGGUGCGUAGGCGGUCGCGCAAGUCGGAUGUGAAAUCUCAGGGCUCAACCCUGAAACUGCAUUCGAUACUGCGUGGCUAGAGUGCUGGAGAGGAGACUGGAAUUUACGGUGUAGCAGUGAAAUGCGUAGAUAUCGUAAGGAAGACCAGUGGCGAAGGCGAGUCUCUGGACAGCAACUGACGCUGAGGCACGAAGGCUAGGGGAGCAAACAGG